rnacentral:tRNA from 1 species
GGGUACAUAGCGCAUCUGCCUUCUAAGCAGAGGGUCGUGGGUUCAAAUCCCAUCAGGCCCG